rnacentral:lncRNA from 1 species
GCCGGUGCGAGCAGGGAGGAAGGCGAGCGGCGCGGCCUUGGGAGGAGGACAGCGGCCGGCACGGGUAGGGGUAGUAAAGUUUCAAAUAGCAUGCUAAAUAGUUUAGAGUCAGUCUCCUCCUGACGAUACAUAUGUUAUAACAAUGUUUUGUUAAACAAAUGACACAUAUGACUCAUAUAUAAACAACGGAUUUCAAUAAAUAUUUUAACAUACUAGCAGAAUGUCCGUGCGCUGCCACUGUCCAGGCAAGUCACUUUUGGGUCUUCUCUUCUUUUUGUCUUCUUUUCUUUUUUUCUUCUUGGGCCACACCCGUUUUUCCUCUUGGGCCAACUUCCCCGAUAAAGCCAAGCCCAUGCUCACGGGAGCACUCGUGCCCGUCUUCCUCCUCGUGCCAAAAGCAGCACACACACGCGCCAUCCGCCGCAAUCUCCACCCUCGACGAUGCCUCCUCGGCCUGUGACCCGUCCAGGUGCUCUGAACCGUAUCCCACGGCCAUUCCCUUUCUUUUCCCCUCCUCAAUCAUCCCUCAUAAUCACGGCUGAACCGCCUUAGCGCGCGUUAUCGUAGCGGCUCCUGUUGGCCCGAUCAACAUGCCGGGAAUGAGGGCUGAGAGAAUGAACCGGUUCCCCUGUUUUCUCUGAAUUUAAACGGUGUUUGACAAGAUGGAGCCUGCAUGCCAGAGCCGCCGGCUCUCGGAUGGAAGGAGGCACCACAUCCUGGACCAUAUGCUG